rnacentral:rRNA from 1 species
GACGAACGCUGGCGGCGUGCCUAAUACAUGCAAGUCGAACGCAGUGGGGACGGGUGAGUAACCCGUGGGUAACCUCCCAUCAGAGGGGAUAACACUUGGAAACAGGUGCUAAACCGAUACUGAUGGAUGGACCCGCGGUGCAUUAGCUAGUUGGUGAGGUAACGGCUCACCAAGGCCACGAUCCAUAGGCGACCUGAGAGGGUGAGCAGCCACACUGGGACUGAGACACGGUCCAGACUCCUACGGGAGGCAGCAGUAGGGAAUCUUCGGCAAUGGACGAAAGUCUGACCGAGCAACGCCGCGUGAGUGAAGAAGGUUUUCGGAUCGUAAAACUCUGUUGGUAGAGAAGCGGUAUCUAACCAGAAAGCAACGGCUAACUACGUGCCAGCAGCCGCGGUAAUUC